rnacentral:misc_RNA from 1 species
GAUGAAGAACGCAGCGAAAUGCGAUAAGUAAUGUGAAUUGCAGAAUUCAGUGAAUCAUCGAAUCUUUGAACGCACAUUGCGCCCGCCAGUAUUCUGGCGGGCAUGCCUGUUCGAGCGUCAUUUCAACCAUCAAGCCCCAGGCUUGUGUUGGGGACCUGCGGCUGCCGCAGGCCCUGAAAACCAGUGGCGGGCUCGCUGUCACACCGGGCGUAGUAGAUUUUAUCUCGCUCAGGGCGUGCUGCGGGUUCCGGCCGUUAAAAAGCCUUUUUUACCCAAGGUUGACCUCGGAUCAGGUAGGAAGACCCGCUGAACUUAAGCAUAUCAGUAAGCGGAGGA